rnacentral:lncRNA from 1 species
CUCCGUGCCGCCUGCUUGGCUUCGUUGCUCCGUGGCGGUGUUCGGCUGCACGCCUAUUUGCUGCGCAGCAUGGUUGCUAUGGAGAUCCCGUCAGACAUUCCAAUAAGUUCCCGAGAUAAAGAAGGCAGUUAAUACUUCGGCUCUGUGUGUCACACUGUGCGGAACGACUGCCGCUGACAAUUUAAAGUAAAAUAAUAGUAAAGAAUAUGAACAAUGAAUAGGUCAGGACACGACGUUUAACCUGUGGUUUCUCAGUGAUACACAUACAAGAGCCCAGCUGCCCUAAUCCAGCGGCCGAUUCCUUUCAGUUGUGGAAAGACUCAUGGCUGUUUCUGGAGCACAGUUUACCCGCAGACAGGUUCUUGUCACACCUUCCUGCUGCCUGACCUGCCCACAGCAGGGGGCACUUCGCCCCAUCUGGCCAUUGGAACUUCUUGGCAGUUGCGCUUGCAGACGGUCAGCUGAAAACCAACCCCAGGGGCAACUGGGGCUGC